GUCCAUUUCAUUUUCUACAGAAUUUUAAAUCCAAAAUGUGAAUUUUAAAUUUAUUUCUUUUUAUGGAAUAUCUGGUUGAUUAUGCUAAUCGUGUAUUAUGGAACUACUUAUGUGAAACAACAAAGAGAAUAAAACAAAUGGCCUUAAUCAUGUUCUAUAGCAAAAAAAAGAAGAAAAAUGGUAAGAACCUGUACACUGAGACCACAAAAACAAAAUAAAGUUUUUCCAUAUAUUUCUAGGAUGUGUAGAAAACUUUGCAAGUGCCACUUACAAAUGUGGUCAGUUAAAAGUAUACAAUGUCAUUUGUAGUAUGCAUUAGGAUUCAGCAUUAUGACAUUUUGGGAGAUAUAUGUCAAAUGGUGUGUCCCCUGGAGAAGACAAAAAUUAAUGGCUGAGACAUUGGAUUGCAUCAGGUGGUAUGCUGUUAGUUUGUUAAAAAUAACAUUGCGGAGAUCAAUAACUCAUACAAUACUUUGGUGCCCUCAACCAGUAUUAGAUUUAUAUUUUAUUUGCUUAUUGGGAGCAAGUGUUGACAAUUAUUAAAGCAUUUUUCUCUUUCUCUUUAGAGGAGAGGGAGCCCGGUCCAUAAAAAAAGAAAUCAUAUCCAAGAUAAGUACACUUAUUCUACUCAGUUGCUGUUCUCUGUGUCCAUUUUUUAUUUGUCUCCAACAUUUUUUGUUGCCUCCACAUACUGUUCAUGAUUUAAAUCAUCUGAAUAUUCUGCCUUACAGUGAAAAAAAAAUAAUACAUAAUAAGAGAAUAAAUGUUUGCUCACAAGGGACAAAUUGAGUUCAUGAGAUAAGGGUACAGGUGUGUGUCUCUAAUCCAAUAUGGUAAACAAAAGCAGUUAACAUCUCUUCCCAUGUUCACGUUGUUGCAUUUGCAGAGCGGAAUCCAUUAUCUAUGCUCUUUUCCCGAAGCAGAAAAAAGGAUGCCCAGGAGACGGUCCAGAAGAAUGAUCAAGAAGUGGUUCCAUCUGGAGAAAAGUCUUUGCUCUUUGCAUCUGCGUCACCUCAUACCACAGGAGAAUCUUCCGGGUCCAGUGGGAAGUCUGGCCAUCUGAGAGCAGAUGGAGGUGGAAAUGCCUUUCCACCCAGCUACUCCAGCCUGUACCCAGAGCAAAAGGAUGAAAAAAAUGUCCUCCGAAGGAGAAUGUACUGCCCACCAGGUUCCCAGCAGUCGUUCCUGAGGUCCGCCCCUGUCGGUCUGAGCCGCAGGUGUGUAUGCGGGUGUGCGUGUAUCUGUAACCAUUGCAAACCAGUCUGUUUUCGUUGAUUCGUUUCUCUAUCCAUCUCUCGCUCUUUUUCAGCUAUUCUGAUCCUGUGUUUUCCAGAGAGGAACACGGAAGGAAGCGAAGUAUGAAUUAAUUUUCUCCUGAUUCUUGGGGGAUUGUUAGUUGCUGCUCAGAUUGU
rnacentral:lncRNA from 1 species